AGAGUUUGAUCCUGGCUCAGAACGAACGCUGGCGGCGCGCCUAAUACAUGCAAGUCGAGCGAGAAGGUGUAGCAAUACACUUGUAAAGCGGCGAACGGGUGAGGAAUACAUGGGUAAUCUACCAUCGAGUGGGGAAUAACCAACCGAAAGGUUGGCUAAUACCGCGUACGCUUCCGAAUCUUCGGGUUUGGAAGGAAAGCCGUGCUGUGAGUACGGCGCUCUUUGAUGAGCUCAUGUCCUAUCAGCUUGUUGGUAGGGUAACGGCCUACCAAGGCUUUGACGGGUAGCUGGUCUGAGAGGACGAUCAGCCACACUGGCACUGCGACACGGGCCAGACUCCUACGGGAGGCAGCAGUAAGGAAUAUUGCGCAAUGGGCGAAAGCCUGACGCAGCGACGCCGCGUGGGGGAUGAAGGUCUUCGGAUUGUAAACCCCUUUCGGGAGGGAAGAUGGAGCGAGCAAUCGUUCGGACGGUACCUCCAGAAGCAGCCACGGCCAACUUCGUGCCAGCAGCCGCGGUAAUACGAAGGUGGCAAGCGUUGUUCGGAUUCACUGGGCGUACAGGGUGUGUAGGCGGUUUGGUAAGCCUUCUGUUAAAGCUUCGGGC
rnacentral:rRNA from 1 species